AUUAAUAAAGGCAUUCAUUUAGAUUGUGAAUGCAGUGUUCGUCCAUAAUAAAAGUGAUCAGGGUUUUAGUCUGAGUUUUACGAUUUUCUUAUAAUUAUCAGGUUAUAAUUCAAGUUUUGAUAUAUUGGUAUAUGAAAUUAAAUAUUAGGUAUAUUGUUUGAGAUGAAUAUUGUCAAAUUUAUGAUAUUUGGAGGAAAUUAGACUUAACCCUGAGAUUAAAAAUUUAGGAGGAUGAUAUGUAGCGUAUGGGUUGGAAUCAAGAACUAGG
rnacentral:lncRNA from 1 species